rnacentral:rRNA from 1 species
CCUACGGGAGGCAGCAGUGGGGAAUAUUGCACAAUGGGCGAAAGCCUGAUGCAGCGACGCCGCGUGAGGGAUGACGGCCUUCGGGUUGUAAACCUCUUUCAGCAGGGAAGAAGCGAAAGUGACGGUACCUGCAGAAGAAGCGCCGGCUAACUACGUGCCAGCAGCCGCGGUAAUACGUAGGGCACAAGCGUUGUCCGGAAUUAUUGGGCGUAAAGAGCUCGUAGGCGGCUUGUCACGUCGGGUGUGAAAGCCCGGGGCUUAACCCCGGGUCUGCAUUCGAUACGGGCUAGCUAGAGUGUGGUAGGGGAGAUCGGAAUUCCUGGUGUAGCGGUGAAAUGCGCAGAUAUCAGGAGGAACACCGGUGGCGAAGGCGGAUCUCUGGGCCAUUACUGACGCUGAGGAGCGAAAGCGUGGGGAGCGAACAGGAUUAGAUACCCUGGUAGUCCACGCCGUAAACGGUGGGAACUAGGUGUUGGCGACAUUCCACGUCGUCGGUGCCGCAGCUAACGCAUUAAGUUCCCGCCUGGGGAGUACGGCCGCAAGGCUAAAACUCAAAGGAUAAGUAGCGUUGAGAGNGCGACGACGACGACGAGGAGGAG